AGGACGUGCCAUCUACAGAUCUGUUUAUAGCAACAGAUCUCCUUCACACUCUUGUUAGUCUCACUUAUCUGGAGCUUGUUCCACCUUUUCUAUGAUGUUGGUAGUGUACCCUUUACUUCUAGUAGUGAGCUGUUGACUGAGAUCUACUUGCCUCAUUCAAUUUUUAUCUCUCCCCAUUUUUGUGGAUUCCUACCUCGUUCUCCCUGUGCUUAUAAUUUAGCUGUCUUGCACAUUUUUGUGGAUUCCUAGCUCAUUUCAUUGUGGAUUCAAUUUAGCUAUUUUAUCGCACUUGUGAGUUCCCUUCUAAAGCAGU
rnacentral:misc_RNA from 1 species